UACGUAGGGUGCAAGCGUUAAUCGGAAUUACUGGGCGUAAAGCGUGCGCAGGCGGUUAUGUAAGACAGAUGUGAAAUCCCCGGGCUCAACCUGGGAACUGCAUUUGUGACUGCAUAGCUAGAGUACGGUAGAGGGGGAUGGAAUUCCGCGUGUAGCAGUGAAAUGCGUAGAGAUGCGGAGGAACACCGAUGGGCGAAGGCAGGUCUCUGGGCCGAUAC
rnacentral:rRNA from 1 species